rnacentral:rRNA from 1 species
UACGUAGGGAGCGAGCGUUAUCCGGAUUUAUUGGGUAAAAGGGUUCGCAGGCGGGUUUGAAAGUCAGCGGUGAAAUCCCACGGCUCAACCGUGGAACUGCCAUUGAUACUGCAGGCCUUGAGUGUAUUUGAAGUGGGCGGAAUGUAGCAUGUAGCGGUGAAAUGCAAAGAUAUGCUACAGAACACCAAUUGCGAAGGCAGCUCACUAAACUACAACUGACGCUCAUGCACGUAAGCGUGGGGAUCAAACA